UGAGUAACCUGCCCUUCACUCCGGGAUAACUCCGGGAAACCGGGGCUAAUACUGGAUAUGACUCGAACAGGCAUCUGUUUCGGGUGGAAAGAUUUAUUGGUGGAGGAUGGACUCGCGGCCUAUCAGCUUGUUGGUGAGGUAAUGGCUCACCAAGGCGACGACGGGUAGCCGGCCUGAGAGGGCGAUCGGCCACACUGGGACUGAGACACGGCCCAGACUCCUACGGGAGCA
rnacentral:rRNA from 1 species